rfam:Clostridium kluyveri DSM 555, complete genome.
GAGAACUGAUAGUUUGAAAAGUCAAAUGAUGAGGUAACGCUUUGAAGGGCUUUCUCUAAUCUACGACUGGCAUUUAAUGAAUAAGCAUUGAAGUGUCAGAUAGCUCGUUGAAGUCGGCUGAGAGUACACCCUAACGGAUUAUGCUGAGGAAAUGUGAACCAGAGGUGGUCAAGUGUAUGAUAGGUCGGGAGUCUAUAAA